rnacentral:lncRNA from 1 species
AAGUCACAGAGUUGAAUAUCUGGUGACAAGUGACUGAAGAAGUAUUGUUUGAAAUCUAAAAGUGUAAGUGUAUUGGAAUCCAUAAGAGAAAUGUGAUGUGUACCAUAGAGGGAAAUAGCUUUAAUCAAUACGUGGACCAACAGGCCAUCACUAUAGGGUGUUUAGCCAAAAAGGAAGGAAUUAAGUGUUUGAGGUUGUAGUUGUAAGACCCCAAUUUUGAC